rnacentral:rRNA from 1 species
GCAAGUCGAGGGGCAGCAUGAUUGAAGCUUGCUUCAAUUGAUGGCGACCGGCGCACGGGUGAGUAACGCGUAUCCAACCUUCCGUACACUCAGGGAUAGCCUUUCGAAAGAAAGAUUAAUACCCGAUGGUAUGAUGAGAUUGCAUGAUAGCAUCAUUAAAGAUUUAUCGGUGUACGAUGGGGAUGCGUUCCAUUAGGUAGUAGGCGGGGUAACGGCCCACCUAGCCGACGAUGGAUAGGGGUUCUGAGAGGAAGGUCCCCCACAUUGGAACUGAGACACGGUCCAAACUCCUACGGGAGGCAGCAGUGAGGAACAUUGGUCAAUGGACGAGAGUCUGAACCAGCCAAGUAGCGUGAAGGAUGAAGGUCCUACGGAUUGUAAACUUCUUUUAUAAGGGAAUAAAACCUCCCACGUGUGGGAGCUUGUAUGUACCUUAUGAAUAAGCAUCGGCUAACUCCGUGCCAGCAGCCGCGGUAAUACGGAGGAUGCGAGCGUUAUCCGGAUUUAUUGGGUUUAAAGGGAGCGCAGACGGGUCGUUAAGUCAGCUGUGAAAGUUUGGGGCUCAACCUUAAAAUUGCAGUUGAUACUGGCGUCCUUGAGUGCGGUUGAGGUGUGCGGAAUUCGUGGUGUAGCGGUGAAAUGCUUAGAUAUCACGAAGAACUCCGAUUGCGAAGGCAGCACACUAAGCCGUAACUGACGUUCAUGCUCGAAAGUGUGGGUAUCAAACAGGAUUAGAUACC